AACGCACCUUGCGCUCCUUGGUAUUCCGAGGAGCAUGCCUGUUUGAGUGUCAGUAAAUUCUCAACUCCACUAGCUUUUGUUAGUCGGAGCUUGGAUGUGGAGGUUUUGCGGGCCUUUUCAAAGGUCGGCUCCUCUGAAAUGUAUUAGCGGAACCGUUUGCGACUCCGUCACAGGUGUGAUAAUUAUCUACGCCAGUGGAUCGCUCUCUGUCUGUUCAGCUGCCAACCGUCCCUCGGGACAAACUUACUGAACUUUUGACCUCAAAUCAGGUAGGACUACCCGCUGAACUUAA
rnacentral:misc_RNA from 1 species